GUUGUAUGGUUAAGUGACUAAGCGUACACGGUGGAUGCCUUGGCAGUCAGAGGCGAUGAAGGACGUAUUAACUUGCGAUAAGCCCAGAUUAGGUAGUAAAAACCAUUUGAGUCUGGGAUUUCCGAAUGGGGAAACCCACUUACAUAAGUAAGUAUCGUUAUGUGAAUACAUAGCAUAACGAGGCGAACCGGGGGAACUGAAACAUCUAAGUACCCCGAGGA
rnacentral:rRNA from 1 species